UCUGAAGUUCUUGAUGUUCUCUCUGAUUAUGAUGCCAGUUAUAAUACGCAAGAUCAUCUGCCACGGGUUGUUGUGGUUGGAGAUCAGAGUGCUGGAAAGACUAGUGUGUUGGAAAUGAUUGCCCAAGCUCGAAUAUUCCCGAGAGGAUCUGGGGAGAUGAUGACACGUUCUCCAGUUAAGGUGACUCUGAGUGAAGGUCCUCACCAUGUGGCCCUAUUUAAAGAUAGUUCUCGGGAGUUUGAUCUUACCAAAGAAGAAGAUCUUGCAGCAUUAAGACAUGAAAUAGAACUUCGAAUGAGGAAAAAUGUGAAGGAAGGCUGUACCGUUAGCCCUGAGACCAUAUCCUUAAAUGUAAAAGGCCCUGGACUACAGAGGAUGGUGCUUGUUGACUUACCAGGUGUGAUUAAUACUGUGACAUCAGGCAUGGCUCCUGACACAAAGGAAACUAUUUUCAGUAUCAGCAAAGCUUACAUGCAGAAUCCUAAUGCCAUCAUACUGUGUAUUCAAGAUGGAUCUGUGGAUGCUGAACGCAGUAUUGUUACAGACUUGGUCAGUCAAAUGGACCCUCAUGGAAGGAGAACCAUAUUCGUUUUGACCAAAGUAGAUCUGGCAGAGAAAAAUGUAGCCAGUCCAAGCAGGGUGAGGUCAAAUUCUUUGUUGCGAGAAUAGAUUCUUUGUAAAAGCU
rnacentral:sRNA from 1 species